CAAUAAACAACAGGAGUAACGAACAAGUGAACAAUAGCGCCUGCACCCUCACCCUCCUCCCUCUCCGGCGACCAUCUCCUCUCCUCCGGCCGUCGUUCUUCACAGUUUAUGUAGAUGGCAUCCUCACUGAUUCACAAAUCCACCUAUGAAGCCGAUAACCCACUUGAAUUGUCGCUAAUUGAAGCUUUCCGGCUUCUGGAACCCGAAUUAAGGCCCCCUUUUCUACUAACAAUCCGUACAGAACCCAAAUACUUCAAUCUCAAUCGGGCUAUAUUAUAUGUUUAGUGUUAUUUAUGAUACCCUCUCCAGCGACCACCUCCUAUUCACCGGCGCCAUCGUUCCUCUGACCGUCCUCCUUCAACCGUGGUUCUUCACAGAUGUGUUAAUAUUUAACUUGUUUUGUAUUUUUAACUUGAAUCAACAUGAACUUUUUUGAUGUUUCUUGUUCUAAAUUGUUUUGAUGGUUUAAAUUGUUUUC